GGCGUGCUAACACAUGCAAGUCAUGGGGACCCAGCAAUGGGUAACCGGCGAACGGGUGCGUAACACGUGAGUGACCUGCCGAUUUGUGGGGGAUAGCCGGGCCAACGCCCGGGUAAUACCGCAUACGCUCUUCUUGGGGCAUCUCUAGAAGAGGAAACCUCCGGGGCAAAUCGAGGGACUCGCGGCCUAUCAGCUAGUUGGCGAGGUAACGGCUCACCAAGGCUACGACGGGUAGCUGGUCUGAGAGGAUGGCCAGCCACAUUGGGACUGAGAUACGGCCCAGACUCCUACGGGAGGCAGCAGUGGGGAAUAUUGCGCAAUGGCCUAACGGCUGACGCAGCGACGCCGCGUGUGGGAUGACGCCCUUCGGGGUGUAAACCACUGUUGCUCGAGACGAAUAGCGAGCUUUAGCUCGCCUGACGGUAUCGAGUGAGGAAGCACCGGCUAACUCCGUGCCAGCAGCCGCGGUAAUACGGAGGGUGCGAGCGUUGUCCGGAAUCACUGGGCGUAAAGGGCGCGU
rnacentral:rRNA from 1 species